rnacentral:ribozyme from 13 species
GAUAAAAUAAAAGAAAAGAAGAAACGAAAAGAACGACAAGAUUGACGUUCAAAUUUUUCUCUCCUUUUUUUCCCUCCCCCCUCCUCUUUUUUCUUGUUUUUAUUCUUAAUUUUUUAUUCCCCUGUGUGUACUUUUUUUA